rnacentral:rRNA from 1 species
GGCCUGCCCCCUGAGUUAUUAAAGGGCCGCGGUAUUUGGACCGUGCUAAGGUAGCAUAAUCAAUAGUCUUUUAAUUGGAGUCUAGAAUGAAAGGUCGGAUGGAGUAUAAUUUGUCUGCGAGUAUAAAAGUUGAACUUUACUUUUAAGUGAGAAGGCUUAAAUUAGUUAGUGGGACGAUAAGACCCUGUGAAGCUUUAUAUUUGUUUAACUUUAAUUUUUAAUAUUUGUGUGUUUAAAUUUAAAAUUAACAGAUAUUGUGUUGGGGCGACCAGAAUAUAUUUUUAACUGUUCUUGUUUGGCAAAUAAAUGAUUUUUAGAGAGUUGAUCCUUUAUUAAGGAUUAUAAGAUUUAAGUUACUCCAGGGAUAACAGCGUAAUUCUUUUUGAGAGUUCUUAUCGACAAAAGUAUUUGCGACCUCGAUGUUGAAUUAAGGUUUCAUUAAGAUGCAGGUGU